AGAACGAACGCUGGCGGCAUGCCUAAUACAUGCAGGUCGAGCGAACACUUCGGUGUUAGUGGCGCACGGGUGCGUAACGCGUGGGAAUCUGCCCCUUGGUUCGGAAUAACAGUUGGAAACGACUGCUAAUACCGGAUGAUGACGAAAGUCCAAAGAUUUAUCGCCAAGGGAUGAGCCCGCGUAGGAUUAGCUAGUUGGUGAGGUAAAGGCUCACCAAGGCAACGAUCCUUAGCUGGUCUGAGAGGAUGAUCAGCCACACUGGGACUGAGACACGGCCCAGACUCCUACGGGAGCAGCAGUAGGAAUA
rnacentral:rRNA from 1 species